rfam:Loxodonta africana unplaced genomic scaffold scaffold_439, whole genome shotgun sequence.
GCCCCUGGGUGGUACAGUUAACAUGUUCAGAUGCUAACUGAAAAGACGGAGGUUCAAGUCCACCCAAAGGCA